rnacentral:rRNA from 1 species
AGAGCGAACGCUGGCGGCAGGCCUAAUACAUGCAAGUCGAACGCACCUUCGGGUGAGUGGCGGACGGGUGAGUAACACGUGGGAACGUGCCUUUUGGUUCGGAAUAAUCCGGGGAAACCUGGCCUAAUACCGGAUAAGCCCUUCGGGGGAAAGAUUUAUCGCCAUUAGAGCGGCCCGCGUCUGAUUAGCUAGUUGGUGGGGUAAAGGCCCACCAAGGCUACGAUCAGUAGCUGGUCUGAGAGGAUGAUCAGCCACACUGGGACUGAGACACGGCCCCAGACUCCUACGGGAGGCAGCAGUAGGGAAUCUUGCGCAAUGGGCGAAAGCCUGACGCAGCCAUGCCGCGUGAAUGAUGAAGGUCUUAGGAUUGUAAAAUUCUUUCAGCGGGAAGAUAAUGACUGUACCCGCAGAAGAAGCUCCGGCUAACUUCGUGCCAGCAGCCGC